rnacentral:sRNA from 1 species
GGACCUUCGAAAUCGCCGCCGCUCUCACCAUGGCUUGGGUCCAGACUGCGCCACAGCCUCUCGGGAGACGUGGGCCCUCGGAACCUUUUUAGUGCCGGACUCCGGGCCGCAGGCAGUCCCGCGGCAGCAGGAUCACAGAACCUCUGGAUGGACUCUUCCUGGGAAGCUUUGCUACUUUGCAGCAGCUGGACCAUGUUCCUCAUUAACAUCUGUCUGUCAGCUUAGUCGUCACAUCAUUUCACUGUGAAACUAAAGCUUCAGAGUGGAGAGAUAACAAAAGAAGAGAGGCAGCCUGCAUCAGCCCAGUCCACCCCAAGCACCACUCCGCACUCUUCACCUAAGCAGAGGUCCAGGGGCUGGUUCACUUCUGGUUCUUCCACAGCCUUACCUGGCCCAAAUCCUAGCACCAUGGACUCUGGAAGUGGGGAUAAGGACAGAAACUUGUCAGAUAAGUGGAGCCUGUUUGGACCGAGAUCCCUUCAGAAGUACGAUUCUGGAAGUUCUGCCACCCAGGCCUACCGAGGAGUGCAGAAGCCCUCUCCAUUGGAACUGAUACGUGCCCAGGCCAACCGAAUGGCUGAAGAUCCAGCAGCGUUGAAGCCGCCCAAGAUGGACAUCCCAGUGAUGGAAGGAAAGAAACAGCCACCACGGGCCCAUAACCUCAAACCCCGUGACCUGAAUGUGCUCACACCCACUGGCUUCUAGAGCCCUCUUUCCAGGGAUUCUGGUAAAGGUGGUUUCUUGCACCCCACUCCCCUUUUGCCUUGGCUUUGACAUAGGAAAGGUAUAUUUAAAAACUUAAUCAGCUGGGCGUGGUGGCUCACGCCUGUAAUCCCAGCACUUUGGGAGGCCAUGGUAGGUGGAUCACCUAAGGUCAGGAGUUCAAGACCAGCCUGGCCAACAUGGUGAAACCCCGUCUCUACUAAAAAUACAAAAAUUAGCCGGGCGUGGUGGUGGGCACCUAUAGUCCCAGCUACUUGGGAGGCUGAGGCAGGAGAAUCGCCUGAACCCGGGAAGUAGAUGUUGUAUUGAGCUGAGAUCGUGCCAUUACACUCUAGCCUGGGCGACAGAACGAGACUCCAUCAAUAAAUAAAUAAAUAAAGUAAAAAACCUAUUAAAUUGAGGCUAGAGCUGGAGAUGUAAUUGGUUUUUGAGAAACAUUAAUACAAAGCUUGCCCUUGUUGUGUGGAAGAAGCCAUUUUGUACUGCUUUAAAGUUAGACUAAUAUUCAUUCUCAGCAUGGGUGUAUGGGGACCUCAUUACCUAUUUUUUUCAUCAUUUACCCUAGGUAAGAACUUUGAUCACUGCUUACUAGGUAAAGAAUGUUUGUGCUGUUCCAAAACCCAGGCUUCUUGAUUCCUUUACCACUAUCCAUGUGAGCAUUGACAAAUCAUGGCUUAGAGGUGCUCACUGACUCGCUGAGACGACUUUGGGCCUGUUGAUGGCUGGUGCUGUGCUCCAGCUUUAUCAGUUAGGGGACCCAAGAUUUGUUUGGGACCUGGGUACAGGUAAAAGCCAGACUUGGCAGGGACCCCUCUUUCUAGGCUGAACCUUGAGUCCCCCUGCUUUUUGGCAGACCUAAUGGAUCACUGUCCUGCAGCUAGUUCUUCAUGUGGGGCCUCUUAGGCCAGUGCCGGGGGAGGCAGGCUCCUCCUUCUAUGCCACCGAACAAACACUACUCUAGCAGAGCCUUUCUUGCACUUUCAAGUGAGAUUAAUUUAGCUCUAAUUUGGUUAAAAACUUCCUAAGAGAGAAAAUUAAGUCUACUGAUUUGGUAUAGGUAAAUGGACAUUAAACUUUUGUAAAGUAAAGGAGAUGGUGGGUACAGUUAGAUAAUAGUCUUGAGGUUCAUGUGAAGCCAGUGGUGUUAACUUACUUGAUUUCCUUGUUCAGGUCAGGGCCUGGAACGCCUGUGCGGGGAGGUGAAUGAAUUCAAAAUCUUCUGUAUGAAGGCAUUUUUCACCAAAAUGAGCCUCAUCCCUUUAUGCAACACAUAACCUUACUGAGGGAGGGAAAUACAGAAGCCACCUUUUUAUUUCUCUUCACUGUGUACAAGUUCAGUUAUUGUCUUGAACACUGUCUCAAAUACCUGUUUUUUGUUUUGGAUAGUACCUCGUCUGUAUAAGAAGCUGGCCUUUCCAUAGAGAGGCCCUGGAGUCUAAAAUUAUGAGAACAAUUAAUUUAUUUGUGUCUUCUAUUAUGAUCUCUUGUUUUGACAAUAAAAAUCCUUACUACUUUCUCAAA